UCCCUGGUGGUCUAGUGGUUAGGAUUUGGUGCUUUCACUGCCUUGGCCCAGGGUCAACCCCUGGUCUGAGAA
rnacentral:tRNA from 1 species